GAUGAACGCUGGCGGCGUGCCUAAUACAUGCAAGUCGAGCGAACGGACGAGAAGCUUGCUUCUCUGAUGUUAGCGGCGGACGGGUGAGUAACACGUGGAUAACCUACCUAUAAGACUGGGGUAACUUCGGGAAACCGGAGCUAAUACCGGAUGAUAUUUUGAACCGCAUGGUUCAAAAGUGAAAGAUGGUCUUGCUGUCACUUAUAGAUGGAUCCGCGCUGCAUUAGCUAGUUGGUAAGGUAACGGCUUACCAAGGCAACGAUGCAUAGCCGACCUGAGAGGGUGAUCGGCCACACUGGAACUGAGACACGGUCCAGACUCCUACGGGAGGCAGCAGUAGGGAAUCUUCCGCAAUGGGCGAAAGCCUGACGGAGCAACGCCGCGUGAGUGAUGAAGGUCUUCGGAUCGUAAAACUCUGUUAUUAGGGAAGAACAUAUGUGUAAGUAACUGUGCACAUCUUGACGGUACCUAAUCAGAAAGCCACGGCUAACUACGUG
rnacentral:rRNA from 1 species